GACGAACGCUGGCGGCGUGCCUAAUACAUGCAAGUAGAACGCUGAAGGAGGAGCUUGCUUCUCUGGAUGAGUUGCGAACGGGUGAGUAACGCGUAGGUAACCUGCCUGGUAGCGGGGGAUAACUAUUGGAAACGAUAGCUAAUACCGCAUAAGAGUAGAUGUCGCAUGACAUUUGCUUAAAAGGUGCAAUUGCAUCACUACCAGAUGGACCUGCGUUGUAUUAGCUAGUUGGUGAGGUAACGGCUCACCAAGGCAACGAUACAUAGCCGACCUGAGAGGGGGAUCGGCCACACUGGGACUGAGACACGGCCCAGACUCCUACGGGAGGCAGCAGUAGGGAAUCUUCGGCAAUGGACGGAAGUCUGACCGAGCAACGCCGCGUGAGUGAAGAAGGUUUUCGGAUCGUAAAGCUCUGUUGUAAGAGAAGAACGAGUGUGAGAGUGGAAAGUUCACACUGUGACGGUAUCUUACCAGAAAGAGACGGCUAACUACGUG
rnacentral:rRNA from 1 species